CGGACGGGUGAGUAACACGUGGAUAACCUACCUAUAAUACUGGGAUAACUUCGGGAAACCGGAGCUAAUACCGGAUAAUAUAUUGAACCGCAUGGUUCAAUAGUGAAAGACGGUUUUGCUGUCACUUAUAGAUGGAUCCGCGCCGCAUUAGCUAGUUGGUAAGGUAACGGCUUACCAAGGCAACGAUGCGUAGCCGACCUGAGAGGGUGAUCGGCCACACUGGAACUGAGAUAUGGCCCAG
rnacentral:rRNA from 1 species